rnacentral:sRNA from 1 species
AUAACACCCAUCAGGGGAAGGUAAGAACCUUCGACCAAGGUUCGCGUCGAGCAUGGCGAGACAACAACGCGCAGCGGCGGCCCAAAGGGCGAGGAACCACGUGACGAGUAAUCCUUCCCCACAACCU